CCUACGGGAGGCUGCAGUGAGGAAUAUUGGUCAAUGGACGAGAGUCUGAACCAGCCAAGUAGCGUGAAGGAUGACUGCCCUAUGGGUUGUAAACUUCUUUUAUAAAGGAAUAAAACGAGGCACGUGUGCCUUUUGCAUGUACUUUAUGAAUUAGGAUCGGCUAACUCCGUGCCAGCAGCCGCGGUAAUACGGAGGAUCCGAGCCUUAUCCGGAUUUAUUGGGUUUGAAGGGAGCGUAGAUGGGUCGUUAAGUCAGUUGUUAAAGUUUGCGGCUCAACCGUAAAAUUGCAAUUGAUACUGGCAGUCUUGAGUACAGUUGAGGUAAGCGGAAUUCGUGGUGUAGCGGUGAAAUGCUUAGAUAUCACGAAGAACCCCGAUUGCGAAGGCAGCUUACUAAACUGUGACUGACAUUGAGGCUCGAAAGUGUGGGUAUCGAACAGGAUUAGAUACCCUGGUAGUC
rnacentral:rRNA from 1 species